UGAGGAAUCUUGCGCAAUGGGCGAAAGCCUGACGCAGCAACGCCGCGUGUGUGAUGAAGGCCCUAGGGUUGUAAAGCACUGACCAGAGGAAAGAACAAACGGGAUUAAUCUCCCGUCCUGACGGUACCUCUGAAGAAAGCACCGGCUAACUCCGUGCCAGCAGCCGCGGUAAUACGGAGGGUGCGAGCGUUGUUCGGAAUUACUGGGCGUAAAGGGCGUCUAGGCGGACUGGUAAGUCAGAUGUGAAAGCCCUCGGCUUAACCGGGGAGGUGCAUCUGAAACUGCCAGACUUGAGUACUGGAGGGGGCAGCGGAAUUCCCGGUGUAGAGGUGAAAUUCGUAGAUAUCGGGAGGAACACCAGUGGCGAAGGCGGCUGCCUGGCCAGAUACUGACGCUAAAGCGCGAAAGCGUGGGGAGCAAACAGG
rnacentral:rRNA from 1 species